GUUGACCUCGGAUCAGGUAGGAAUACCCGCUGAACUUAAGCAUAUCAAUAAGCCGGAGGA
rnacentral:rRNA from 2 species